AUGAUCAACAGUUAUAAUGUACACUUAUCUAUGUUCCUCCUGUCGAAGACCAUUAUUGACAGGUUGGAUAAACACUGUAGAAGAUUUUUUUGGCAAGUGUCUAAAAAGAGAAAACGCUACUAUCUAGUGCGAUGGACUCGUAUCUGUAGAUCGAAGGAGAAAGGUGGUUUGGGUGUGAAAGAUUUACAUAAGCAAAACCUAAGCCUUCUUACUAAAUGGUGGUGGAAGUUGGAGACCAAAAAUGGUCUUUGGCAGGAGAUUAUUAAAGCUAAAUACCUUGGUAGAGAUACGGUAGCUUCUGUCAAAGCAAAGGUGAAUGAUUCGCCUUGCUGGAAAGCUAUUAUGAAGGUGAAAAACCUUUAUAUGGCAGAAGAGUUAUUAUUCAAUCUAGGAAUAUAG
rnacentral:rRNA from 1 species